GCUGGCGUAGCUUAAAGAAAGCAUAACACUGAAGAUGUUAAGACGGGACUUAACAAACCCCGACAGCA
rnacentral:tRNA from 1 species